CCUUGAGUUCAUGAUUUUGUUUUAUACAAUUUGGAUCAUUGCCUUUUCUCUAGUUCGCAGGUGACUGCUAAGCUUCAAUGUCUCUAUUGCCUGAAAAUGGAAAAUAUAUAGUGUUUUCACGAAUUUGGUAUUUUCUUUGCAUUAUUAAAAUUUGUUGCAACUAUUAUCUUUGUGACAUAUAGUGAUAUAAGACAUGCUAUUUUGGUUAUCAUUAAACUCAUUUGGACACCAAAAAGUGCCAUAACUUUGUGCCUGUGAAUAUUGAAACACCCAAGUGAAGUUUACUGAAGAAACUUAGGGGCUGUUUAGUUGUGGAAAAUGUUUUCCUGUUUUCUAUCUCCAUUUUUUUUUAAUAAAAUGUUUGAGUUUUUAUUUUCCAUAAAAUUUUUAAAAAUGUGUUCAAAUGGUAGAAGUACAGAAAAGUAACUUAUAAUGUACAAAAUUGGAACAUAUGUUUGAAAAAGAGGGAUGUUUUUCUUUUGUGUAACUUGCAUUAGAGAAGGAGAUGGAGAUGAUUUGAGAGAAAUUUUGUGGAGAACCAUGUUUUCCAAAUCUUCAAAUUAGUAAGGAAAAUAUGGAAAUUUUAUUUUAGAAGAUUUCCAACUUUUCAAUUUUGGAGAACCAUGUCUUCCUAAUUUCCAUUUUUUGUUUAGACCAUUUUUGUGUUUGAACAAGUUUUCUAAUUUUUCGGAGAAUUGGGAGUGUUUUCCACAACUGAACAGUCCUUUAACCUUCUGUUGUCUUGGGAGCAUUGGAAUGCACUCAAGCUGGCCUUAAUAGAACACGCGCACACACGUGUGAGUGAUCAAUAUAGAAUAAAAGAACAACAACACAGAAUUGAAAUAAAAAAACAUAAAUCAAACCACACAAGACACCGGAUUUUAUCCUGGUUCAGAUCAUCAAAUGAUUGAUGAUCCUACAUCCAACCUUAAAUCUCGAGAGCAAUCUUCUUUCCAAUCUUGAACAAAAUAGUACAACAGAUCAGUCUCUCACAAGUACAAAUUCCACUGAGAUUACAAAGGCCAUCACUACUAGACUUUCCUCUCGCAAUUGCACUUCGUUCAUUCCAUGAUGUAAAUGACUACCUCUGCCCCCUAUUUAUAAACCAUAGGGCGGACAUUACAAGACAAUAUAUGGACAUUACCGAUUACAACCCGUCGUUAGUUACCGUUGGAAAAAAAACCUAACCAACUAACUAUCACUUGAGGCUUUGACUGAACUUCAUUGAUUCUUUUGGGCUUACUCGAUGCAAAUAGAUAACAAAUCUCCACCAUUUGCAUGAGUACUGCCCAAGCUUGAUUAAAACGAUCUGCUCUCCUUAGGACUUGCAUUCAUAUGUUGUUCGUUCACAUAGAGAUACUUGUAUUGGAUAUAGGAACUGCUUUGGUAAACAUAUCAGCUGCAUUAUCUUCCCCUGCAACUUUAAUCAGACUAAUUUCUUUCUUUUCAAGAAUUUCUUUGAUCAAAUGAUACCUAACAUCUAUGUGCUUGGUUCUUUCAUGGUGGGCUUGAUUUUUAGCUAAGUAUAUAGCAUUUUGGCUAUCACAGAUUAGGGUUGCUUUUACAUCUUUCCCAAGCAAUUAACUAGCUAAACCUUUCGACUAUAGGGCUUCUUUAAUAGUUUUUGUAACAGCUAUAUACUCUGCUUCUGUGGUUGAAAGAGCCACUACAUAUUGCAAAUUUGUUUUCCAGCUAAUGGUUGAAUUCCAUAGCUUGAAAACAUACUUUGUGGAUGACCUUCUAUUGUCUAAAUCUGUUGCAUAACCAACAUCUGUAAAUCCUAGGAUGCUUGGCUCUUCUUCUAAAUUAGCUCCACUAUAAACCAAAGACAUAUUAGUGGUUCCUUUUAGGUAUCUAAAGAUCCACUUCAUUGCAUUCCAAUGAGCCUUUCCCAGAUGAGCCAUAAACCUAUUAGUUAUACUCAUAGCAUGGGCUAAAUCUGGUCUUGUACAUACCAUACUAUACAUAAGGCUACCCAUUGCACUUGAAUAGGGUAUCUUGCUCAUUUCCUUAAUGCUCUCUUCUUCAGAUGGAGAUUGCUCAUGGGAUAACUUAAAAUGCUGAGCAAAAGGAACAUUCACUUCCUUGGCAUUUACCACAUGAAAUUUUCUAAUAAUCUUCUCAAGAUAGGAUUUUUGAGAUAAUAAGAGUUUUCUUUGCUAUCUAUUUCUAGAAAUUUCUAUGCCUAAGAUCUUUUUUGCCUCUCCUAACUCCUUCAUUUCAAAGGUUGACUUCAGCUUUAAUUUCUGUAUUUCCUGAUUUGAUUGACUUGCAAUCAGCAUAUCAUCAACAUAGAGGAGUAGGAAUAUAGAGAUCUUACUAGAAACAUGCCUAAAAUACACACAACAAUCAUAUGAACUUCUCUUAAACCCUUGGUUUAUCAUGAAUGUGUCAAAUUUCUUAUACCAAUGCCUAGGGGAUUGUUUUAAUCCAUAGAGGGACUUUCUCAACAAGCAUACUCGCUCCCUUUUACCUCUAGAUUCGAAACCUUUAGGCUGUUCCCUUAAAAUAUUCUCUUCUAAUUCACCAUGCAAGAAGGUAGUGGUUCAGUGAACUAAAAUGCGGCCUAGGCGGCGCCGAGGCGCUAGGCGGACACUGGUCGCUGCGAUUGUGGCCAAAUCGGCCCCCUUAGGCGCUGCCCGACUAAUCGGUACCGGGCGGUGCCUAGGCAGCUAAGGCGGACGCCUAGCCGCGUGAACCGCCUAGCCGAUUAUGCCCUAAUCAGUCGCCUGGGCCGCGUGAAUCGAUUUAGUAUAAAUUUAUUAGGGUUUUUGUUUCCCCUUACCCGUUACCCCUUCUCUCUCGUCGAUUUCCCCUUCUCUCUUGCGCGCACCGCCACUGACUGUCUAUUGCAGAGUCCCUGUCACCGUCGCCUCUCUUGUGCUCGCAUGCCGCCACUGUCUCUUGUAGUUGCAGAGUCGCCGUCGCCGCUUUCCAUUCCUGUUAGCCUUUUUGUUGCAUGCCGUCGCCGCCCCUCGUGAACGGUGGACUCGCCAUCGACCUUCAUUCCACUCUCUCUGUCUCUUACAGUUUCAUCUUCCCCACUCACCCUCUGCUACUGCUUGUUGUUGCCUAUUUUCUUUUUGUUUUUUUGUUAUUUAAUUUAUUAUUUAUAUUAAUAUUUGAUUAUUUGUUAUUCACUUAUUUGAAUAUUUUUUAAUAUUUUAAAAAUUUUAAUAUUUGUAACUUGCAAGCAAGUAACAAACAAAGCCAACAAGUAGCAUGCAGCAAGCUGCCUUUGUUGUUGCUUGCUGUUUGUUAGCUAGUUGUCUAUUUUAAUUCAAUUAUUCAAUGCCAAUUUACUCAGGAAAAAAAAGAAGAAAAAAGAAAGUCAUGUCAGAUGGAAUUGGGAGUACGGAAGCAUCAUCCGAUGCCGCCUUAGUUCUUAAAAGGAAAUCAAAUAAUGUCGGAUGGGAGUAUGGAAUGUUAAUUAAUCCGAAGAAUAUGGAUAAAGUUAAACAUAACUUGUGUGGUAAAGUUAUGUCUGGAAGAGUUUACAGAGUUAAAGAAUACAUCAGCCACAUUUUUGGAAAUGUUUCUGCAUGUCCAAAAUCUUCUCCGGAUGAUAAAACUAAAUGCAAGAAUGUUAUUGUCGAGGUAAAGAGUAAGAAGAAGAAUAAGAAGCAGGAGGAAGAUUUGAUGAGAUCCUCUGUUAAUAUUUCUGAAAAAGGGAAAGGGGUGGAUGAUGAAGAUGAAUUGGAAGAGUUAGGGAGCAAAAAAACACCUCGUACUCUUGGCCUUAUAGAUAAGUUUGCAAGCUCCAUUAGUCCUGAAAUUUGUUUGAGUUCGAGAAUGACGCAAAGACAACAAAAUAUUAGUGAAGCACUGUUUAAAGAGAGAACACAGGUUAUAUAGGGAUAUUGUGCUAGAUGGGUGUACGAAGCUAGUAUACCUUUCAAUGCUAUUGAUCAUGAUAGCUUCAAAUUAUUUGUUGAGGCGGUUGGUCAAUUUGGGCCGAGCUUCAAACCUCCUAGUCAAUAUCAGUUGAGGAAACCAUUAUUAAAGGAAAAGGUUGAUAGAAUGAAAGAGUUACUGAAGAAGCAUGAAGAAGAGUGGGCACAAAAUGGGUGCUCUAUUAUGAUUGAUGCUUGGACAGACAGAAAAAAAAGGAACAUCAUGAACCUAUGCGUUAAUUCUAGCAUGGGUAUUGCUUUUCUUUCUUCAAAAGAAUCAUCAGACGAAGCCCAUACAAGUGAACUCAUAUUUGAGUAUGUGGACAAGUGCAUUGAGCAAGUUGGACCACAAAAUGUCGUCCAAGUAGUAACCAACAGUGCUGCCAACAAUAUGGGAGCGGCAAAAUUAUUGAAGCUGAAGAGGCCAAAUAUCUUUUGGACAUCAUGUGCUACUCACACCAUCAAUUUGAUGCUUGAAAGUAUUGAAAAAAUGCCGAGAUAUAAGAAAGUCAUUGAUCAGGCAAAGAAUUUGACAAUCUUCAUUUAUGCACGCCAUAAGAUCUUGUCCUUAAUGACGUCAUUUACGAAGAAAAGGGAUCUAGUGAGACCGGGAGUCACUAGAUUUGCUUCUUCUUUCCUUACUUUGCAGAGUUUGAUGGAGAAAAAGGCCCAAUUAAGGAUAAUGUUUACCAGCUCUGAAUGGGAGGAGUGUAAAUGGUCAAAAACUGUUAAAGGGAAAGCAACAUAUGCUACUUUGAUGAGCAUUGCUUUUUGGAAUGAUGUAACUUUAUGCCUUAAGGUUUUUGCACCUUUGGUGAAGGUGCUUCGAAUUGUUGAUGCAGAUAGAAAGCCUUCUAUGGGCUUUUUAUAUGGAGAGAUUAAGCAGGCAAAGGAAGAUAUUAAGGAGGCCCUAAAUAAUCUUGAGAAAAACUAUCAGUCUGUUAUAAAGAUUAUUGAAGCAAGGGUGAAAGAUAGGCUAGAUAGUCCAUUGCAUUUGGAGGCUUAUCUUUUGAAUCCCUACUACCUUUUCAAGAAUAAGAAUAUAUAUCUUGAUAAUGAAGUGAUGGAUGGGCUUUUUAAUUGUGUGGAGAUGUUUUAUCAUGGUGAUGAUCAUUUUGAAUUGCAAGGUUAUGUCAUAAAUGUUGAGUUGCCAAAGUAUACUCGUAAAGAGGGAGCUUUUGGAAAAGUGUGGGCAGCUCAAGGGUGUGCAAAAAAUGAUGACAAUUAUAAUCCAGUUACAUGGUAGAUGACUUAUGGAAAUCAAACUCCAAACUUGCAACGAAUGGCAACAAGGAUUCUCUCGUUAACCAGUAGCUCAUCUGGUUGUGAAAGAAAUUGGAGCACUUUUGAAGGGGUUUUUCAAAGUGGAAAUGCUAAUGCAGAA